rnacentral:rRNA from 1 species
AGCUUGCUAAGGCUGAUGGCGACCGGCGCACGGGUGAGUAACACGUAUCCAACCUGCCGUCUACUCUUGGCCAGCCUUCUGAAAGGAAGAUUAAUCCAGGAUGGGAUCAUGAGUUCACAUGUCCGCAUGAUUAAAGGUAUUUUCCGGUAGACGAUGGGGAUGCGUUCCAUUAGAUAGUAGGCGGGGUAACGGCCCACCUAGUCAACGAUGGAUAGGGGUUCUGAGAGGAGGGUCCCCCACAUUGGAACUGAGACACGGUCCAAACUCCUACGGGAGGCAGCAGUGAGGAAUAUUGGUCAAUGGGCGAUGGCCUGAACCAGCCAAGUAGCGUGAAGGAUGACUGCCCUAUGGGUUGUAAACUUCUUUUAUAAAGGAAUAAAGUCGGGUAUGCAUACCCGUUUGCAUGUACUUUAUGAAUAAGGAUCGGCUAACUCCGUGCCAGCAGCCGCGGUAAUACGGAGGAUCCGAGCGUUAUCCGGAUUUAUUGGGUUUAAAGGGAGCGUAGAUGGAUGUUUAAGUCAGUUGUGAAAGUUUGCGGCUCAACCGUAAAAUUGCAGUUGAUACUGGAUGUCUUGAGUGCAGUUGAGGCAGGCGGAAUUCGUGGUGUAGCGGUGAAAUGCUUAGAUAUCACGAAGAACUCCGAUUGCGAAGGC